GACGAACGCUGGCGGCGUGCUUAACACAUGCAAGUCGAACGGAAAGGCCCUGCUUGCCGGGUACUCGAGUGGCGAACGGGUGAGUAACACGUGGGUGAUCUGCCCUGCACUUCGGGAUAAGCCUGGGAAACUGGGUCUAAUACCGGAUAGGAGCCAUUUUUAGUGUGAUGGUUGGAAAGUUUUUUCGGUGUAGGAUGAGCUCGCGGCCUAUCAGCUUGUUGGUGGGGUAAUGGCCUACCAAGGCGGCGACGGGUAGCCGGCCUGAGAGGGUGGACGGCCACAUUGGGACUGAGAUACGGCCCAGACUCCUACGGGAGGCAGCAGUGGGGAAUAUUGCACAAUGGGCGCAAGCCUGAUGCAGCGACGCCGCGUGGGGGAUGACGGCCUUCGGGUUGUAAACCCCUUUCGCUAGGGACGAAGCUUUUUGUGACGGUACCUAGAUAAGAAGCACCGGCUAACUACGUG
rnacentral:rRNA from 1 species